rnacentral:rRNA from 2 species
GCCCGCACAAGCGGUGGAGCAUGUGGUUUAAUUCGACGCAACGCGAAGAACCUUACCUGGCCUUGACAUGCAGAGAACUUUCCAGAGAUGGAUUGGUGCCUUCGGGAACUCUGACACAGGUGCUGCAUGGCCGUCGUCAGCUCGUGUCGUGAGAUGUUGGGUUAAGUCCCGUAACGAGCGCAACCCCUAUCCCUAGUUGCUAGCAGUUCGGCUGAGAACUCUAGGGAGACUGCCGGUGACAAACCGGAGGAAGGUGGGGAUGACGUCAGGUCAUCAUGGCCCUUACGGCCAGGGCUACACACGUGCUACAAUGGCGCGCACAGAGGGCUGCAAACCCGCGAGGGGGAGCUAAUCUCACAAAACGCGUCGUAGUCCGGAUCGGAGUCUGCAACUCGACUCCGUGAAGUCGGAAUCGCUAGUAAUCGUGAAUCAGAAUGUCACGGUGAAUACGUUCCCGGGCCUUGUACACACCGCCCGUCACACCAUGGGAGUGGAUUGCACCAGAAGUGGUUAGUCUAACCUUCGGGAGGACGAUCACCACGGUGUGGUUCAUGACUGGGGUGAAGUCGUAACAAGGUAACCGUA